UAGCAUAUUUGAGUCUGUGACCGUGGU
rnacentral:piRNA from 1 species